AUGAAAACAAAUGACAAUAAAACUGAUAUUGUAAAUAUUAUUAUUUAUUGAAGUAGUUAAAAAAAAAAAUUAUUUGCAUAAUAUGUUAAUUGUAAGUAAUAUAAAUUAAUUAAAACAAUCAUAAUUAAAAAUUCAUUAACAGACACGUUUAUUAAUUAGUUAUUUAUACAUUAUUUGUAUCCGUCAAUCAAUGUACAUAUGUAUUGUACAUUUAAUACAGUUGUUCCGAACUGAAUUUAUAUAUUUUGAAUUUGAGUUUUAUCCAAGUUUUCAAUUAAUUUGAAAAAAAAAUGUCUCAGCUAUAAAUUGUGUUCAAAUUUGUAGUAGGUACUAAAAAAGAUGGUUCAAAUACUGCCCACAGUAGUACUACGUGGGCAGUAUAUAUUAUGAGUUUGAAAUUGAAGGCCGUACAAAUAGAAAAAAGUUAGCCGACCAAAAUAUGCCCAAACAACUACUAAAACUCAAUAAAAUAACGAAUAUUAUCACAUGACAUACGUGCUAUUGGACUUAGGUGGGGACAUCGUUGUUUGGCCGAAUUCCCGUGGCUGAUUGCCAACCGGACCAAGUGGGCGCGGACAAUAUUUUCAUGCAUUAGCCAAAAUUAAAAAAAGUAAUCCGGCUGGUCACUAAAAGUUACUUUAUCACCAAUAUAUGGUCAUUAAAACAAUUUUACGUCUUAAUAAAAUUGCAUUGCUAACAAUAUACUCGACAUAUUUUAAUUAAUAUUACACUUUUUUUCAUUCCACAAUAUUCUAUGAUGGUUUCGUCAACGUUAAAUGAAAAUAAAUCAAAUUAAUUUAAAUAAUUAUCAAAUAAAAACAUUUACAUAAAAUAAAUGAUUUAAUUAUAGAAUUCAACGGCCGUGACAUGUAUUAAAUAACAUUUCCGUUUUCCGAGGAUUUUAAGUACUUAUUUUGUAUACCUAUCUACAGUGAACUAUAAUAAAUUCAAGUAUGAUAAUUACUUGUAGUAAAAUAUGUUGAGAUUCAUACUGAUCAAGUUUUUUUUUUAACAAUGAAAACUUAACUAUUGUCUUACAAUACCUUGCAAAGAAUUGUACCUAUAAUAAUUAUAAGUCUCAUAAAAAUGUUUAAAACUAUAUCGUAAAGUAGUAUCGAAAUGAUUAUACUUUAUUGGGUACUCAACAUUUAAAAAAAUAUGAAUUAAAAGUUCUGUAAUCAUACAAUAGGUAAUGUAAAACAGCCAUUUAUUAUGACAGAAUAUCCGUUCCAGAACUGUAGUCAAAAUAUUAUAAUAGCCUAUUUGAGAUUCCACUGUUUGUCACGUCUGUGUAUAAAACAAUGUAGAAUUAAAGUGGGAAUGAGCCAAAUAAGUCUGCAAUUGUCUGUAUAGUUAAUAAUAAGAAGGCGUAUUUAUUGGUCUUAAAAAUUCCUUAUAUGCAUUUAAGUUGAAAAAAGUAGACGUAUCAUUUAAAACUCAUCCGGGAAGUCGGCCAAAUGGAUUUAUCAAUGUUGUAAAUAGAACAACACGGUAUGGUAAAUGGUAAUAUUAUUUAAAAGCUUUUCCACAUUAUUUAUGACGUUACGCUUUAUUACUUGUGUGAUGAUUUGACGACGUUCAAAUCUAAAAUUAUAGGGUCGUCAACGGUAUGUAUAAUAUAUAUAAAAUAAAGGUUUUAAAAUAAUAAUAAUAAUCAUAAUAUAAAUCGGGUUGUAAAAUAUGUUUAAUGGUUUACUGUAUGAAACACCCUCUGGUGUAUAGUCGUAUUCAUACACACAUAGGAUUAUGACUGAAUAAUAUUUCUGCAAUGGGGACGGUUUAAGAUAUAAUAAUUUGUUUUUUUCUUUUAUCGAGAUAUAAUAAUAAUACAUAGAAUUACGUAGUUCGAACUAGUGUGGAUUAAAAUACCUUAUUGAAACGAUAAGUACGUUUAUGCUCUAUAUAAUAAUAAUAUAAUAAUACGCGUUUAUUCUCGAGCAACGUGAAUCCACUAUUUAUAUUUACCAUAAAUUCUUUAUACAAUAGGUACUGUGUGACAACCGUGGAAAUUGUUGCAUAGCGCCAGACCUAACCAUAGUAACGCAACCAGUAAGGGAGUCUUUGGAUUCUGGACCUCUCCCCUUGAGUAUUUAUAUUCAAUGAUCAAUUUUAUUUGAUAUUAUUAUAAAUUAUAAUAAUUACAUUAUUAGCAACAAUAUAUAAAUAUAGUCAAGGCACUAAAAUAUUAUACAACAGAAAUUUUACGGGUUUCACUGCUUUCUACUUUCCUCCCCCCAUAAAAAUGUAAUGACAUUUUAUUUAUUAUCAUUCUUACGUACCUAGUGUUUUGGUCGUUUUAUUUGUACAAGCUGCUCGUCGCACCGUUUACUUUUAUGACUAUACAGUAUCUUUUGAACAAAAUAACUGGAGGUCAAAAUAAAACUAAACACGAGAUAAACCUGAAAAGCUGAACCAUACGUAUAUAUAGUCCAUUCAAAAAUAUUGAAGAAAUGGAAAAUUCUAUAGAUACACUCAUCCGUUUUUACGUAUAUAAUAACAUUAUUUGUACUUGUAAUGUACACUCGACACGUAAUAUUUCUGUAUAAUAUCCAUUAUUUCGCACGCACACAUAAUAAUGUUAAUAUGUUACGAGUUUAUGACUUAUGAUAUGGCACCUAUGUACCUACAGACACAAUACGAGUAAAUUUAGAUACUUUUCGUGAAACAACAAUAAUAAUACUGACAUAUAUUACGUGACUCUUCACGAACUAUAUUACAUAGAGAGCUUGUUUAAACGUAAUAUUUCGAUACCGUUAACGAAACAUCCCCAACGGAUAUUACAUACCAGUUGCAUUCAAAAUAAAAUAAUUAUUAUUAUUAACUAAUGGAAAUAAAAAUGCAUAUAAUAUUAGGAUAAAUACAAUAUUUUCAAUAAAAACCAAAAAUCGGCAUAAAUUUUAAUUUGGGGAAAAAAAUUGUGUAAAAUUACCCAUCUCGUUAAUAAAAUUGUUCUCUAUUUGCACUAUAUAUAAUUGCGCUAUUGUACGUCGAGGGCAUUAAAGAGUAUAGGUAUCGGUAAACAUUUGGUCGAAGGAAAUCGGUACAUUUUUCAAAUGAUAAAAACAGUCGCACUGCAGACGGAAACUGGUUAACAACACCCCCCCCCCCCACACACACACACACUCACCAACACUCAACAGGUAUAUUCGUGUAUCCGGACGUCCGGAGCUAUAGGUUCCCGCCAAAGUCUAUACAUUCCCCGUUCAUGCAAUAUCGUUAUUAUCAUUAUUAUUAUACACGUGGUGCCUGGCGCUCUGGUCAAAGCGACCGGUGGUGCUGGCGGUUCGCCGUAGGAGACCGGUGUGCGCACACACACAUACGCACACACCAAAACACAGGUUUAAAGCGCGUGAAAAGGUGUAUGUGUUUGUGUGUGUGACGGUGGCGGUGUGGUGCUCAACGGGGUAGCGGCGGCGGCGAGGCAACACACACACUCUCACCGGUGCAUUCCAUUAGGUCUGGCAACGAUGGUUUUUAAACGCCGGUGGCCCGCCGCCGCCGUACACGUACACCUCCCACGCGGUAUAUAUACCUGUCCUCCUACCCCCCGCCGCGCAUGUCCCUGAAUCGCGCCGCGGACUAAGCACCGGACACCCGAAACUUGUAUAAUAAUAAUAUUAUUAUGUUCCCACGAUGAGUCGAAAACGACGACCGCCGCCGCCGCCGACGAUCGCAUUGCCGCCACCGACUUAGGCUAUAUAAUAAGUAUAUUAUGUACUACACCGCUCCCCUCACUUUCUCUGCUCGGGAUUUAUAUUAUAAAUUACCCGUUCCAUGGUUUGUUUUUUACGGAAAUCGUUUCGAUCGGAUAUUUUAAUCAAUGCAACGUCUUAAACACAAUGUGUUCACUAUAUUAUAUUAUAUUCGUUCAAAUGUCAGCAAAAACGAAUUUGGUAUAUUAUUAUGUUUUAUUUUGUUUUUAAAUUUUACAUACGAAAGUUCGAUUAAAAAUAAAAUUUUAUCUAAAAACUAUUACUGUUAAGUAGUAAAAGUCUACUCAUUGGGAGGGGGUAUAUUCCCGCAGUAAUCGACCAACCUGAUAAUACCGACAUCAGUGAAGCUUUUCUCGAAGUUUAUUAAAUUUAAUUUCCAAACGCUCGUAGUCGAUUUCCGUUUUCCGUUUUCGAGUCACGCACACCACUGCCUUGGCUCUCAUCGAAUAAUGUAAAUCUAUUGCGCGUGCUUAGGAAUGCUAUUCGAGGGUUAGACAACCGCCAUCGAUGGCUGCGUAGAUCGGGUUAAACUAUCGUGAGUUAUAAAAAGUGUAUGUAUAUUGUAUAAUAUAUAGUAUAUACGUGUGCUGGUCAAUGAAUAUGUUGUUAAGACGAUAUAUAUUCUUUUGAUAAUACAAUAUAUUGCGUUAUUAGUCAUUACUAUGUAAAACACACACACAUAUAUAUAUGUGUGUAUAUAUUAUUAUGAAGUAGUGGUUGUGCAGUCGUUAAUCUGGAGAAAAAACUCUGAUGGCCCUCGUUUUAUAUAGCUGCCAUAGCACUUUACACAAUAUAAUAUAUUUAAGCAUAUCCCGUGCCAUAUAUACCAACCUACGUACUUAAUAUCGAAAGACGUAUAAUCCAACACUUCGGUGAUUAAAAACUAUUUGAAAUUCUAUUAAUCGUGACGUUUCGAAAUUUAUCAUUAUUUAAUUCAAUUAUUCUUAUAAUGCGAAUGCCAUCCCAUACGUAGGUACCUACCAUAAAAAUAAUAUGUUCAAAUAAUAAAAUACAUUUACGCUUUUUUUAAUAGUUGGUCAACCUAACCUAUGGAUUUUUCUUUUAGAUACCUGCUAUACAAUGUAUAACAGAUGUUUAGGAAACCAUCAAGUGCAGUUACAUUGCGUACCUUCUAGGAGCAAAUAUCUCGUAUUUUCGACAUUGAAUAAUUAUUUUCCGAGUAUACAGUGUAUGCGGUUAUUUGUGUUGUUUUACUAUAAGGUAUGUGUAUAUUCGUAUACGCUACAAGAUCAUUCAGGCUACGUUGAAUCAGCAGUUUACCUCGAUUGUUAUGCGGCCACUAUUUUCGGUAAAGGGUUUUACAUUGUAGGUACCUAAUAGGUGCGUAAUAAAUAAAUAAAGAUUUUUUGUAAUUUUUUUCUAUUAAAAAUAUAUUUUAAAUUUAAUUUUUA